UGAUCCUGGCUCAGGACGAACGCUGNUGGGGCCCCCCAACCACACCCCAGCGAACGACGAAGGAGCAAAAUCCGGGCAAAUUAGUGGGGUACGGGUGGGUUACACGUGAGCAAUCUGCCCUGCACUUGGGGAUAACUCCGGGUAACGGGACCUAAUNCCAGAUACGAACCUUUAGGGCAUCUUNGGGUGGGGAAAAAAUUUCGGUUUAGGAUGGGAUCGCGGCCUAUCAGNUAGUUUGGGUGGUAACGCCACACCAUGGCANCGNCGGGUAGCGGACCUGAGAGGAGAGAAGGACCACCACCUGAGAUACGGCCCAGACCACUAUGGUACGCAACAGUGGAAUUGUCCAAACAUCAACCCCACCCGAUGNCGCACCGCCGGGGAAGNNCUACUCCCNUUGGAACAGCAGUCGCUGUAAUACAUGCUAA
rnacentral:rRNA from 1 species